AUAACUCUAAUACUUUUGUGCGUACUUGUUUUUGGAACAACCUCAGUAUCAGAUUGAGUACAAUCAGUGGCAGCGCCAUAUUUGUAUGGAAAUACAAUUUUAUUUUUGAACAAGCAAGUUGGCUUACAGCAUAUCCAGUGCACAGUUAAUACAUUUGAUGGACUUCUCGUGGUGUGAUCUUUUGGAUUUCCAAGGAAUUCAGCACAUUUGUAACCAGUCCAAGAGUGGGAAAUACAGCAAGGGACCCUUGUGAUCAAGCAUUUAUUUUUACUUAGAACAAGAUGAGUACCGGUAAUAGGCCUACAGACUAUGGGGGUGGUUACAAAGCCAGUUAAUUUACAACAAGAGGAAGUCGCAAGUGACACUCCAACAAGCAACAAUCAUUCAAGCCAAUUAGAAGAUGGCAAUUUUACCAAGUAAUUCAGGUACUAAUUAACAAACAGCAUCUAAGGAGUUAUCACUUAGCGCAGGGGUUAAGAAUCCCAGUAUCAUUUGGCCAUUGGAUCUCGGUGUAGAUUCUAAGAUAAAAAGCAAAAUCUGGGGAAAUGAAUUUGUUGACUGGAAAUUUGUUAGGAAUCAAAAAUAAGAAUAAUUAUAAAGGCUUUGAAAUCAGUGAAAACUUAGAAGGGGAGUGUGAAAUCAAGCCCAAAAAGCAAACAUUAAAUUCAGAAAUCCAUAGUGAGGCAUUGGCUAUCAGUUUGGGUAAAUCCAAAGUAGGUCUAAAUUCUGGGUUUCUGGUGUUCAUAAUAAAUUCAAAUCUGUUCAAUAUCAGGAGGUAGAAGAUGCAGUAGGUUUAAUGCGCACAUAUGGGAAAAAUUGUGGGUUGUUUAAACUGGAUAUUCAGAAUGCAUUUAAAAUCAUUCCAAUACAUUGUUCAGAUUGGGAAUUGUUGGGUUUUACUUUAGACAAUGAAUACUAUUUUGACAAAACUCUCCCUACGUGACUUAGUUUUUCUUGUCAGUUAUUUGAAGAAUUCAGUACUGCAGUACAUUGGGUAUGUGAAAACAAGUUAGGCUUACAUGGGAGACUAGUUCAUGUUUUUUUUCAAGGAUAUUGGUAUUCCAAUUAAGGAGUUAAAAACUGUCCUUCCCUGCACUUCGCUUAUAUUUUUGGGUAUUGAGUUGGAUUCUAUUUUGAUAGAGUCAUGUUUACCACAAGACAAGUUAACUAAAGCUAGACACCUAAUAUAAAUUCACAAGUCUAAAAAAUCUAUAACAUUACUAGAGUUACAGUCUGUAAUAGGUCUGUUAAACUUCGCCUGUUCAGUGGUCAUUCCAGGACGCCCAUUUCCUAGGCGGCUAAUUGAUCUGUCAAUUGAGUUAACUCAACCUUUUCAUCAUAAGAGAUUGAAUAAGGAAGCUCGGGCGGAUUUAAAUGCUUGGGGUUUGUUUUUGGAGCAUUUACAUGGCAAGUCGCUGUUUUCAUCAGAGCAAUGGGACAAUUCUGACUCAUUACAGUUGUAUAUGGAUGCAAGUAACAUUGGUUUCUGUGGUUAUUUACGAAAUCAGUAUUUUAGUGGUAUAUGGCC